GACCCGAUGGCCAAGUGGUAAGGCGGUUCUCUGCAAAAGAACUAUUCGCGAGUUCGAUUCUCGCUCGGGUCU
rnacentral:tRNA from 1 species